CCUACGGGAGGCAGCAGUGAGGAAUAUUGGUCAAUGGACGAGAGUCUGAACCAGCCAAGUAGCGUGAAGGAUGACUGCCCUAUGGGUUGUAAACUUCUUUUAUAUGGGAAUAAAACAGGGUAUGCAUACCCUCUUGUAUGUACCAUAUGAAUAAGGAUCGGGUAACUCCGUGCCAGCCGCCGCGGUAAUACGGAGGAACCGAGCGUUAUCCGGAUUUUUUGGGUUUAAAGGGAGCGUAGGUGGAUUGUUAAGGCAGGUGUUAAAGUUUGCGGCUCAAACGUAAAAUUGCAGUUGAAACUGGCAGUCUUGAGUACAGUAGAGGUGGGCGGAAUGCGUGGUGUAGCGGUGAAAUGCUUAGAUAUCACGAAGAACUCCGAUUGCGAAGGCAGCUCACUGGACUGCAACUGACACUGAUGCUCGAAAGUGUGGGUAUCAAACAGGAUUAGAUACCCUUGUAGUC
rnacentral:rRNA from 1 species